rnacentral:rRNA from 1 species
UGGGGAAUAUUGCACAAUGGGCGCAAGCCUGAUGCAGCCAUGCCGCGUGUAUGAAGAAGGCCUUCGGGUUGUAAAGUACUUUCAGUCGGGAGGAAGGUGGUAAGGUUAAUAACCUUGGCAAUUGACGUUACCGACAGAAGAAGCACCGGCUAACUCCGUGCCAGCAGCCGCGGUAAUCCGGAGGGUGCAAGCGUUAAUCGGAAUUACUGGGCGUAAAGCGCACGCAGGCGGUUGAUUGAGUCAGAUGUGAAAUCCCCGGGCUUAACCCGGGAAUUGCAUCUGAUACUGGUCAGCUAGAGUCUUGUAGAGGGGGGUAGAAUUCCAUGUGUAGCGAUGAAAUGCGUAGAGAUGUGGAGGAAUACCGGUGGCGAAGGCGGCCCCCUGGACAAAGACUGACGCUCAGGUGCGAAAGCGUGGGGAGCAAACAGG